rnacentral:lncRNA from 1 species
CAGGAUGGCAGAGGAAGGUGAUGUGGACGAGGCGGAUGUGUUCCUGGCAUUUGCCCAGGGUCCCUCCCCUCCCAGGGGUCCCGUGCGACGUGCCUUGGACAAGGCUUUCUUUAUCUUCCUGGCCCUCUUCCUGACACUGCUGAUGCUGGAGGCUGCUUAUAAGCUGCUGUGGUUACUACUAUGGGCAAAGUUAGGGGACUGGCUCCUGGGGACACCUCAGAAGGAGGAGGAGCUGGAAUUGUGACCACCUUUCCUAUAAACAUCUUCUUUCCCCACCAAGGAGCUCACCUCUGGACCCAGCCUUGCCUCCACGAGUCCCUCCAGCCUCCCUAAACACAACGAGCAGCCCUCGCAGCGGCAAUUUGCACAAACUCUCCUCCAAGCCCCACCCCAUCAUCGCCCAUCCGCAGACCCUAGGCCUCCCACGACAAAGCACGGCCACCUGGUCAGCACAGACGGCCCUUCGAGGACCCCCUCUGGAGAAGAACCAUUCAGGUCCCAACGGUCUGGCUGGUCAUUAGUUCUGUGGUGAAGCUUGAAAAGCAAAUCAGCAACAAUAGUAAUAACAAUAACACUUUUA